UCCUCUCGGGCCCUCUAGGUGAGGGCACCUGGCUGUUAACCAGGACGUGGCAGGUUCGAAUCCUGCGGGGGGAG
rnacentral:tRNA from 1 species